UGGGGAAUAUUGGACAAUGGGCGAAAGCCUGAUCCAGCCAUGCCGCGUGUGUGAAGAAGGUCUUCGGAUUGUAAAGCACUUUAAGUGGGGAGGAAGGGCAUUAACCUAAUACGUUAGUGUUUUGACGUUACCGACAGAAUAAGCACCGGCUAACUCUGUGCCAGCAGCCGCGGUAAUACAGAGGGUGCAAGCGUUAAUCGGAAUUACUGGGCGUAAAGCGCGCGUAGGUGGUUUGUUAAGUUGGAUGUGAAAUCCCCGGGCUCAACCUGGGAACUGCAUUCAAAACUGACUGACUAGAGUAUGGUAGAGGGUGGUGGAAUUUCCUGUGUAGCGGUGAAAUGCGUAGAUAUAGGAAGGAACACCAGUGGCGAAGGCGACCACCUGGACUAAUACUGACACUGAGGUGCGAAAGCGUGGGGAGCAAACA
rnacentral:rRNA from 1 species